ensembl:lncRNA
ACAGAAGUUAUAUUUGAAGAGUGACAGCUGUGUUUGUUCAAAACCUGUCGAGGAUUUUGGUCUGACCAGAAGUGAGGAUCUGGGCCUCAACUCGGUCCUGCAGGUGUGUCCUCUACUUCCUGUCGGGCAGGCCCCAGGUGGUUGGGAUGGGCAGCUCCACCUCCUCCACACUGACUCUCGUGGGUCUGCGGUGGGGAGAGGUUGCAGCAUCAGAGUUCCUCUGGGUUAACAUCAGCGCCGACAAGCCCAGGUUUCUCCACUCCAAAGUCAUGGUCACGGAGGCGAGGAAACGGCAGCUUUACCUACGCCGACUAACGAGGUCCGACAUGGACUCCAGGAUGCCCACCAACUUGGACAUCAUUAUGGUCUUUUGGAAAAAAGAUUCUAACAUCUAUUGGAGAGUGUCCUGACUGGUGUUCUGACUGGUGUCCUGACUGGUGUUCUGACUGGUGUCCUGACUGGUGUUCUGACUGGUGUCCUGACUGGUGUUCUGACUGGUGUCCUGCAACCCUUUGGGUCCCGAGGACCAGGAUUAAGAAACACUGCGCUAGAGAAAAUAACAUUACCAGCUGAACGCUGAAACCCGCUUAAUGCUGCUUGCAGCUAGUGUAAGACUGACACAAAUAUCACUUAUCUUUUUUAUUACUUACCUGUUUACAUUUCUUUUAUAUAUUACUUUUAUUCUGUUGUAUUACUUAUUGUAAGAGCCGUAAUUAGGUUAAUGGUUGCUCAGGAUCGCCACCCGGUGGUUGCCCGAAGAGGCGGAACAAUCAUGGCACCCAGGCUAGCAAUUUGAUUUGAAUAUGUGUUGCUGGUGAUGCUGGUGGAGGACGCUCCAGAGAAACUUCUCUUAUUGUUUCCUUUUGUUGUUUACGUAACUUUACCCUUUUUUAAAUGACUUAUCAUGUGACAUCUCUUGAGUUAUAGGGAGUGAAGUUUGGGCAUAGUUAGUUUUGAGCAUUCGCACACAAUCACAUGCUCAUCUAACAAUCAACAGAGAUAUUAAACUCAGCCUACAAUCGAGACAACCGUGAGUACAGUUUAUUGAUCUGUCUGGAUCUGUCUGGAUCAGUAGCGUCCACGUGGCUUACUUUUAAAAAUAGGAAAGAAGCCAUAACACUUAUGCUUGCACUGUAGAAGACAUUUUUUGGAAACCAAGCAUUUCAUUGCCAAUAAUGCUGUUGUUAAUGUGUAAUUAACAAAUGAACUUCAACUUGAACACCCCCAACUCUGGCGAUGCUUGGCCAAUAGGCAUCUCCCCAUGAGUUCACCACACAGAACUGUCUUCCAACUCAAUCAACAUGUAUGAGCAGGGAAAUGGGAUUAGAAGAAACAGCUCACAGCAUCAUGGAUACGUUCAGAGGGAGGAUGACACACACUCUUAUUUAUAUAUAUUUUUUUUGUGUCAUUAGUCGCUCUUAUUUUACUUUUUACAUCUAAUAAUUAAACACACGCACAGUUUACAAUUUUAUUUUGCCUGUAAUGUUUUUUUUCUUUACUGACGGGCCGCCGGAUGCCUUGUUGUCACCAUGACACCAGCUAAUGGGGAUGAGAGAAAAAAUAAACACAUGCAUCACAUCAUCAGUGGGAGGGACUAGGGAACCUAUGUUUCACAAAAUGUGGCUAUGUUUAUUUCUGACAGAAGAGGGAGCUCCAAUCUCACUGUCACCUCCAAAAUUAUUGGCACCCAUAAUAUAGAGCAGGUACCCAUUGAAUCAUGGUUACAGUCAUUCUGUCACUCGGUGUUGAUCUGCUUCACCUAUUGGACUGUUUAAUAACCGAAGUAGAUUUUUUACGAAAGGUGUCAUAUCAUAAUGGAAACUUAAAGGGGUUUUGAAAAUCAUGAUCACAUUAAAAACAGGGAGAUUUGACUGUCAUUCUGUUACAAAACUUUAGGUUUUCAGAGUCCCAAUUUCCAUCUAUAGAUGUUCUGUAGAUGGUUUGUUGAAAGUUUGUUGAUAGUAUUACUAUCUGUUAAUAAGAAAUGGCUUGCAAAGGUUAAGGUUAUGUUUAUGAUAAGGUUUAGUUUAGGGGUUCAGGUAUGGGUUAGUAGAUAUCAAUUAAAAUGUUACUGAUAGUCGGUAGAUAAUCUGUAAAGCAUUGACAGAAACACUU